rnacentral:rRNA from 1 species
GGAAAAGAAACCAACCGGGAUUGCCUCAGUAACGGCGAGUGAAGCGGCAAAAGCUCAAGAUUGAAAUCUUCGGAAUUGUAUCAACACCACAGGCCGCGACAAGUCCGUUGGAACACGGCGCCACAGAGGGUGACAGCCCCGUAACGCANGCCAUUUUGGUNACAUUGAGUCGAGUUGUUUGGGAAUGCAGCUCUAAGGGGUGGUAAAUUCCAUCCAAAGCUAAAUACCGGCGAGAGACCGAUAGCGAACAAGUACAGUGAUGGAAAGAUGAAAAGCACUUUGAAAAGAGAGUGAAACAGUACGUGAAAUUGUUGGAAGGGAAGGGGUGCGGCGGCAGCGGAAGAAGUGUUGGGAGGAGAGUACAAAGAAGCGUAAAGUGGGUUUCCUACCGUGCGCUUUUAUGCUCUCUCUCCCGUCCCUUUUUCCCCCUUUCCGCCCCACCCACCCGUCUUGAAACACGGACCAAGGAGUCUAACGUCCAUGCGAGUGUUUGGG